GGCCGGCCAGAUCAUGGAGGAAAAACACCUGAGUCACGGUGACGAUGCGCUACGUCAUCAUUAAGGUUGUUGAAGUCCAUCUACGUGCGAAGACAAAACACUUUUUUACACCUGAAAAAUACCUGAAUACCACCUGUAACCAGACGGAAGUGAUUCUACCUUACAGGAAUCAUUCAGGCGAUCCAAAGAACCAGCACCGGUUCAGUUAGAUGGAACAGAACCACGGAUUCAGAAUCUGGCUCAGGGUUCUGUGGAGGAUCCAGAAGCUUCUGGUCUGCUGUUUGUUUCUCAUUGUCAAUAAAGUUUCAUCUCCCAAAGCAGGAAGUGGGUGAGGCGAUGAGUCAGCGUCACGGGAUGAAAGCUGCUGAUGGAUCAUGACUCGGCAGGAAAACUGAAGACCCAGAUGUGAUCCGGAAGAAGUUUUCCGUUCUGCUCCUUCCAGGUCAUCCACCUUCAGCUGACCAGCAAAAACCAAGACAGACAAGUUACAAGUUUUUAUUUUGCUUUAAAAGAUCAACUGGACUAGAUCCUAAAAAAACGGCCAUUUUGAUUUCUGUGCCAACAGUAAACAGUUAGGAUUUAACUCCUGAGUGAGUUUAGAACUGAUGAUAAAGUUAUGUUGAAUGCAGACAGAAACGAUAAUUAGCAUUUUUAUUACAGUUGCAGAUUUUCAUAUAAAUGAUUAAACAGCAGAACCCUGA